rnacentral:rRNA from 1 species
AACGAACGCUGGCGGCAUGCCUAACACAUGCAAGUCGAACGAGAUCUUCGGGACUAGAGGCGCACGGUAGAGUAACGCCUAGGAAUCUGCUCUUUGAUUCGGAAUAACAGUUGGAACACACAGUUAAUACCGGAUGAUGACGAAAGAACACAGAUUUAUCGGAAGAGGAUGAGCAAGCGGAGGCUUAGCUAGAUGGUGUGGAAAAGGAGCACGAAGGCGACGCUCCUUAUCUAGUCUGAGAGGAUGAUCAGCUACACUGGGACUGAGGCACGGCCCAGACUCCUACGGGAGGAAGGGGUGGGGAAUAUUGGACAAUGGGCGGAAUGCUGAUCCAACAAUGCCUCGUGAGUGAUGAAGGCUUAAGGGUUGUAAAGCUUUUUUAUCCGUGUUGAUAUUGACAGUACUGGGAGAAUAAGCUCCGGCUAACUCCGUGCCAGCAGCCGCCGUAA